UAGAUCCUAUACGGGAUUUCAUGUUCACCGGAAGUGAUGUAAGGGCCGCAGUGCGCAUGACCACAGACUUGGCUGAAACCAGAAACAUGGUGAAUAUGUUACUGCGAAGACUCAAACACUUUGUGUGAUUCGCUCGGGCAAGGAGGCUCGGGCAACCACCGGUGUACUACAUGUUAGACAGCAUGUUUCAUUUAACUGCUACAGGCCAGGUGAGACACUGUACAGGCUUGUCCCUGUCUUCUCCCUGAUGACAGCCAUACACCGCCUUGCUCACAAGUUGGAAUGGAACGCCAUCAAAUUCCACAUACUUCAGCUUCCAGUUGAUGCUCUUCUUAGCUGAGGGUUGCACAUCUGUAGUGAAAUGUCAUAACAAGUAUAUACUUGAUGCCAACGUCGAUUGGAUCCUGUCUGUGAAUAUGCAUGAAAUGUGUUACAAAUUUCAAUCAGUGAACUGAUGGAUCUUGGUGUUUGUCCAUCAUCGUGCCAUGGGUCAGCAGUUUCAUCUUGUCAAGGCAACAUAGAGUCCGGCACUGAGGAUUAGUGUCGAGUGAACUGAAGACAAUUUCAUGACUCUUAACCCAAUCACCGCCACCUAAGAUUACAAUUGGACCUACACAACUGCACGUAUUCUGGACGUGAUCUUACAGUCACAGAGCACCAUGAAGUGGUCUAAACUUGUUGCCAUGGUUGUUGAGAAGAGCAGUAGCAGACUGUACUUGCUACAAACCCUAGGCCUCUGUAAAUGAAGACUGGACUCGUGCGUCCUGGUAUUAUGGUUAAUUGUCUUUGUUUAGCCAGAUGCUUGCCAGGUAAGGACAACUGAGACCAGGUGAGGCACCUUGCAGGUAAGACAGGUGUGUUUUCUUUGACUAAAGAUAAGGUGAGGCCAGGUGAGGCACCUUGCAGGUAAGACAGGUGUAUUUUCUUUGACCAGGGACAAGGUGAGGCCAGGUGAGGCACCUUACAGGUAAGACAGGUGUGUUUUCUUUGACUAUGGACAAUGUGAGACCAGGUGAGACACCUUACAUGUAUGGCAGGUGUGUUUUCUUUGACUAUGGACAAGGUGAGACCAGGUGAGACACCUUACAUGUAUGGCAGGUGUGUUUUCUUGGUCUAGGGACAAGGUGAGGCCAGGUGAGGCACCUUACAGGUAAGACAGGUGUGUUUUUCUUGACUAGAGACAAGGUGAGGCACCUUGCAGGUAAGACAUGUGUAUUUCUUUGACUAGGGACAAGGUGAGGCCAGGUGAGGCACCUUACAGGUAAGACAGGUGUGUUUUUCUUGACUAGAGACAAGGUGAGGCACCUUGCAGGUAAGACAUGUGUAUUUCUUUGACUAGGGACAAGGUGAGGCCAGGUGAGGCACCUUACAGGUAAGACAGGUGUGUUUUUCUUGACUAGAGACAAGGUGAGGCACCUUGCAGGUAAGACAGGUGUAUUUUCUUUGACUAGGGACAAGGUGAUGCCAGGUGAGGCACCUUACAAUGAUAUUUUCUGCAAUUGACAAGGAAAAGAAGACUAUAACAUCUUAAAUAUAAUUAUCACAACCUUAGCAUGAAUCUGCAAUGCCAUAGUAAGGGUUGGAAUGUACCCUUACUAGCACCCUUAAAUGUUUUACUAGUGGUUAUUUGGGGUAAUUAAGAUGAUGGACAGGUGUAUGUUCUGUAUGUGGAUUCAUCUGUGCUCCAGCAGUUGAUCUUACCUGAGACGACAUUGACAUCAUUGCCCGAAACAGAAUACCAGUAUGUUUUAUAUCAUGUACAUGUCUAUAGGGCUUUUUUUAAGGACUGUAGAUGCAGAACGCAGUGUAUGAUGAUGAUGAUGAUGUACAU